GCCAGAGACCGAUAGCGCACAAGUAGAGUGAUCGAAAGAUGAAAAGCACUUUGGAAAGAGAGUUAAAAAGCACGUGAAAUUGUUAAAAGGGAAGGGAUUGCAACCAGACUUGCUCGCGGUGUUCCGCCGGUCUUCUGACCGGUCUACUCGCCGCGUUGCAGGCCAGCAUCGUCUGGUGCCGCUGGAUAAGACUUGAGGAAUGUAGCUCCCUCGGGAGUGUUAUAGCCUCUUGUGAUGCAGCGAGCGCCGGGCGAGGUCCGCGCUUCGGCUAGGAUGCUGGCGUAAUGGUUGUAAUCCGCCCGUCUUGAAACACGGACCAAGGAGU
rnacentral:rRNA from 1 species